rnacentral:lncRNA from 1 species
GAAAAUCUUACGAAAAUAAAAUACAGUAUUUGGUUACUAAAACAAACAUAGCAGAAUUUUUGAGAAAGUUACCUUGAUUGCCUUUGACAACACUCAAGUACUUCAUUGGCCCUUCUGCUGCAGAACUUGAACACGUGGUUCUUCAAAUACAGUACUUUCCUCCCAACUCCCACCACUCCACUUUCCUACUAUGACUAUUUCACUCCUCUAUCAACUCAGCUGAAUCAUCAUUUCCUUGGGUCAGCUUUCCUUGUCCCCCCUGACUAGCAAUAAAUGUCCUCCUCAAUCAA